rnacentral:rRNA from 1 species
CCUACGGGAGGCAGCAGUGGGGGAUAUUGCACAAUGGGGGGAACCCUGAUGCAGCGACGCCGCGUGGGUGAAGGAGCGUUUCGGCGCGUAAAGCCCUAUCGGCAGGGAAGAAGGAGGACGGUACCUGACUAAGAAGCCCCGGCUAACUACGUGCCAGCAGCCGCGGUAAUACGUAGGGGGCAAGCGUUAUCCGGAUUUACUGGGUGUAAAGGGGGCGCAGACGGCAGCGCAAGCCAGGAGUGAAAGCCCGGGGCCCAACCCCGGGACUGCUCUUGGAACUGCGCGGCUGGAGUGCAGGAGGGGCAGGCGGAAUGCCUGGUGUAGCGGUGAAAUGCGUAGAUAUCACGCAGAACCCCGGUGGCGAAGGCAGCCUGCUGGACUGCGACUGACGUUGAGGCACGAAAGCGUGGGGAGCGAACAGGAUUAGAUACCCUAGUAGUC